CCCUGCCCCAUGUUCAGCCUCGAGGGUGGCUCCUGCCUCCCUUGUGCAGGCUCAGAGCCAAGCUGACGGGGCUGGGUACCACCUCUGUGCUGUCUCNNNNNNNNNNNNNNNNNNNNNNNNNNNNNNNNNNNNNNNNNNNNNNNNGCAGGGACCGGGAGGAGGCGGGGCAGCUGGAGAGGCGGCUCGUGGUUUGUGGCCUCAGACUCCAGGCCCUGCGGGAGGAGGUGGCGGAUGAGCCUGCUACAGAGCACGAAGCAGCGAGAAAGAUGCAGAAGAAAGUGGAGAUGGUGGAGGAAAAGCUGGCGCGCGUGCAGACAGCCCUGCGGCGCCGGGCUGCAGACCUGCGCGACUCCCUGGUGCUCUCCGAGUUCCUGCAGAACGUGCAAGAGGAGGAGGAGGCACGCAGCCGGCACCAACCCGCUCCGCCAGGGAGUGGGCAUCGUCACUCGCAGGGGUCUUUGCCCCUGCUCUCGGCCCCAGCAAGGCAACUGUCAUGCAGCGAGGACAUGAGCAGCCCCUUGGGACAGCUGCAGGAGGCUGUGGAGAUGCUGAACGAUGCAGUGAAGGAGCGAGAGCGUGUUGUGGAGGCAGCGGCGGAGAUGGAAAGCCUGGAGCGUCUGCUGGCAGAGGUGUCCCCAUGCCUGGAGGCCAUCCGAUGCAGAGCCGAAGCCCUGGCUCGAGAUACUGCCCAAGCGGAGAACGAUUUUGCCGUGGUGAAGAGCGAGAAAGACCUCCAGGGGCUGCAGGGCUUGCUGAGUCGGCAACAGGAGAUGGAGUGCGCGGUGACAGAGACCCUGCAGGGGCAGCUGGAGGAGCUGGAGAGGGCUGCUGCCCGCUUGGAAAAGCUCUGCCCUGCUCGGAUGCGCACCAUCGGCCCAGAGGUGCAGGGAGCCCUGCAGGCCUGGGAAGGACUGCAGAAGCUGCUAAGAGAGAACAAGGCCCACGUGCAACAGGCUGGCCGGCUGCGGCAGUUCUUCAAGGAUUAUUUAGCCAUGAUCUCCUGGACAGAGGACACGCGGGCUCAGAUCUUCUCAGAAAGCCCAGGCAGCCAUGGCUUUUUGGACACUCAGUGUGAGGAACUGGAGAGGAAGAUUGAAGGCAAGUUGAAGGAGUUUGAGGAGCUGGCGGCAGCGGGGCAGACGUUGGUGUCUGAGGAGCACUAUCUGAGUGAGACGAUAAAGGAGCGCAUGGAGGAGCUGCAGAGCAUGCUGGGCUGGGUGCUGGUACGUUGGCGAGCACAGAAACACCAGCGGGACCCUGGGACCAAGCUAGAGGACAGAAAGAACUCUGAAAAUCCCUUGGAUGCGAGGGAGAAGUGUGUCCCAUGCGUUCAGUCCUGUGCGGAGAGCAUGCUCAGCCUGAAAGGGCUUGCACCCUGCUCCCUCUCUGAAUCUGCACAAGGAUCAGAGCUGCAGCUGCGGGUGCUAGAAGAAACAGCCAUCUCCCCUCCAGCAUCACCCCUCUCUGAUGCCCUAUUGGGACUGGAGCCUGGCAGCUCGGUGCCCCAUGGCACGGGACCCCCUGCGGAGGAGGGUUUUGUCUGGGAUCCCUCUGAGACCUCCAUGGUGUUGCUGCCACCACGGGGGACCAGCAGCCUCGGGGGGACAGUCAACCUGAUCCUGAGCAUUGGCAAGAAAGGAGAGAAGAAACAGCCGCAGCUGGCGUCGGGCAGAGAACAGCCUGGGGAGGAGGCUCCGCAGAUGGUACGUGAAGCUGUGUGGGGGCCGUGGCAUCAGCAGGGCCAUGCGGGAGCUCCCUGUGCCCACCUUGGCCACUGCCACAGCUCUCCGAAGCUGCUGCGGGGACCUUCGUCCCAGUGCAGAUGUCCUCACAUGGCAGGCAAACCGGGUGGCUGCGGCUGCGUAGCACUUGAAGGCUCUCAGAUCGCUUCCAUGGGUGGGAUCCAUCUAGGCUGUUUCUGAGCGAGCUGUCCAGGUCAUAGCACAAAGAUGAGAGAGCCUUUUGGCUCUAUUGGAUGUUGGGUGAUCCCUGAGGGCUAAGCACCAGCUUGUAGCACCCUCUUUGUCUGCUCUCUCCUCCCUGUAGCUGGCUACCCUUGCUCUUCCCUCAACUCUCUUUGUGUCUCUCUCUCCCCAUGCUCAGCUCUCUGCCACUAAACCCUCAAGCUGUAAAACCUUUUGGAAGCGUUGCCAGGGGCUUUUAGGAAACACUUGGGGUAGUUUAAAGCGAAAGAGAAAGCCAUCUCGCCAGUCUAUGGAAGAGGUAAUGUCCGGGGGGAGGCUGCAUGUGAGGCAAAGCGACUGCAUGGCAUGAACUUGCCUGCCACUAACCCAGCUGGCCAUCCUGCCAUGCCCUCUCUGCAAUGCUCCUCCCUGCCCCAGCAGGCUGGCUGGGGCCAGCCUUCCCCCCAGCAGGGCUGGCAGGUGCAGGCCCAGUGGUGGGCCACCUUGUAGAGAGGGAAAUACCCCUGGUGCCCCAAGGUCCAGAGUGUGGGAGCUGGGGCAUGCAAAGAGGGGUGUCAGCCUGCCGGGGCUGGCUGCAAUUUGGCCCCAGGGGUAAGUGAUUUUGGUGGCUGUGGGAGGUGUAGCAGGUGGGGCUCAUUCUAGCUGCUGGAGGGCAGAACCAGUCCCUUGUGCAGCUGGUGAAGGGGGC
rnacentral:lncRNA from 1 species